AGACUAGAACUCAUCUCUCGAUGAAAACCCACAGAUUCACCUAUCGUUUAUUAAUCAAUUCUUCAUCUCCAACUCAAACAUGAAACCCCAAGAUUAAAACUCCCAACAACCUUUUUCAAUCUCCACAAAUCUAUCUUUCACUGAUAAGAUCUCUAAUUCUUCAAUCUCCUCUCUCAAUCUCAAGCUUCUUUUGGCACCAAGUGGUUGUGGAUUCUAUAAUCUGCGCUCAAGGAAGCUGAGGAGAAAAAACAGAGACUUCAGCAGAAGCUCGAGUCUCUCAUUGAGAUAAGCAUUGAAGGGUUGAAGCUGAAAAUUGGGGCCUAGAAAAGAGAUGGUUCCUAGCAAGUAUUAGAUUGUUUAGGAACCGAGAAAAAGGCACAAACCGAACCGAUUAGAAACAGUUCGGUUCUAGUUCGGUUUCAAUUUUUUUACUUUAAAUCCGAACCGUUUGUGGUAUGUAGUUUUCGGCGUCGGUUCGUAAGUUUUUUAACAAGAACAUACCCGGUCCCAGGCCUAGUUGUAUUGUAAGUAAAUAAGUUCCAUAAUUUAAUAAUUUGG